GGAGGCAGCAGUGGGGAAUAUUGCACAAUGGGCGAAAGCCUGAUGCAGCGACGCCGCGUGAGGGAUGACGGCCUUCGGGUUGUAAACCUCUUUCAGCAGGGAAGAAGCGAAAGUGACGGUACCUGCAGAAGAAGCGCCGGCUAACUACGUGCCAGCAGCCGCGGUAAUACGUAGGGCGCGAGCGUUGUCCGGAAUUAUUGGGCGUAAAGAGCUCGUAGGCGGCUUGUCGCGUCGGUUGUGAAAGCCCGGGGCUUAACCCCGGGUCUGCAGUCGAUACGGGCAGGCUAGAGUUCGGUAGGGGAGAUCGGAAUUCCUGGUGUAGCGGUGAAAUGCGCAGAUAUCAGGAGGAACACCGGUGGCGAAGGCGGAUCUCUGGGCCGAUACUGACGCUGAGGAGCGAAAGCGUGGGGAGCGAACAGGAUUAGAUACCCUGGUAGUCCACGCCGUAAACGGUGGGCACUAGGUGUGGGCGACAUUCCACGUCGUCCGUGCCGCAGCUAAC
rnacentral:rRNA from 1 species